rnacentral:pre_miRNA from 1 species
AGGGGAAUAGCUAGGUCAAAUGGUGGUUCCAUUCUCAGCUUUCUAAGGAAUCUCCAUACUGCUUUCCAAAUUGGCUGCACCAAUUUGCAGUCCCAUCAGCAAG